AAAAAGCACUAAUUGAGGAAGGUGGUUUUCCCAGGGUGAGGCUCACCCAUUGCACUGCGGGUGUGCUGACCUCUGCGGUUUCCCCAAAUGUGGAAACUCGACUGCAUCAUUUGUGGUAGUGGGGGACUGUGUUCACACUCUCCCCUG
rnacentral:snRNA from 1 species